rnacentral:lncRNA from 12 species
UGCACACUGCUCUUGACCAUGGUAGCCGCUUGAGGCCUCUGGCUAUUUAAAUGUCAAGUUAAAUUAUUUAAAAAUAAAUAACAUUUAAAAUCUAGUAUUUAUUAGCCACAUUUCAAAUUCUCAACAGCCAGAGGCACCUCAUGGUUCCUGUCCUGGACAGAGAAGAUACAGAGUAUUUGCACUGUUGCAGAAAGUUCUAUUGGACCCUACUGUCUCCGGAGAAAGAUAUCUACACCUUCAGCAUCAUUUCCCCUCAGAAUACCAACUGGCCCAGCUGUGUGAAAAAUGAGAUGGACAUUAAACAUUUUUUCCACCAUUAAAGGAAACACUAAGAAUAAUAGUCGAGAGAGAGAGAGAGAGACAGAGAAAUUUGAAAUAAUUUCUACACACCUAUAUUUAAUCAGGAUAUGCUAGGUGAGAAAACAAAAUAUAAUCUUAUGGCUUAAUACAACAAAGACUAAUUUCUUCUUCACAGGAAAAUCUCCAAAAUAACAAGUCUACUUGAAGUAAAUGCGUCCACCAGCCCUAGCUGCUCCAUCUGGAAUACUUAGCUUCCUUGAUCACCAAACAAGGAAGGAAGUGUUAGAGGUUUCACCCUUGCAAUUCAAUGCUAUGGGCUGUUAGUUACAUAGACCCCUUCUGCUAACGGCCCUUAGCAGAAAUCCGCCACGUGAACCGGAUUACAUGCAAGGACAGCUAGGUUUACUCUUCCUGUUUGCCCAGAAAGAAGUGUAAAAGAUGUAUAGGUGAGCACUCCACGUCCACAUGACCCACCUCUCUUUUCCUCAAACCCCCUUUUCCCUGACCAUACUCAAACUUAGCUUCGAAGGAGAUCAGGGAAGAAGAUACGGAGAUACUGUCAAGAAGAGAUGUUUGGGGUGAUCUCAAGCAAUUUUUACUAGCUUGGAAGUGGUAUGGAGUUAACAUCAUCAAAAGUACUAAAACCUUAUUUCUGCUGCCUUUCCAUUUCAUUUCCCUGUUCACAUGUGCCUCAUGCUCUUAACCUAUAAGGCAAACUAUUAAAUAUGUUUUACAGAACCCCAAGAUUAAUGACAUUUUCACAUGAGAUAUAUUGUUUAAUAUUUGCAUUUUAAUAUGUAAUAUGUAAUCCUCAACUGCUUCUUGAAUAAUUACUAUAAUUGCUACUACUUUUAUUACUACUACUAAAACUACUAUUAUUAUUAGUUAAUACUUAUUGAUAACCUACUGAGCUAAGUAAUUUACAUAUGUGUAAUUUUCAAAACAAGUCUAUGAUACAAGUAUAAUUAUCUCUAUUUUAUGGUAAAGAAAUUGAACAAAGAAAUUAUAUAACUUGUUAAAUA